GAACCUGCGGAAGGAUCAUUACCUUUCAGUACAGAAGCGUUGUGUUGGUUGAGUUGUGCCGGUUGAGUCUCGCUGACAAGUGGGAUUCCUGGUGGCAACUCCCUUCAUAAUUCUCCCUGUCUAUCAUCCUUGUCUUUUGCGUACUAUUGUUUCCUCGGUGGGCUUGCCCACCGGUUGGACAACCUUAUAACCUAUUUAAUUUUCAAUCAGCGUCUGAAAUAAUAUAAUAAUUACAACUUUCAACAACGGAUCUCUUGGUUCUGGCAUCGAUGAAGAACGCAGCGAAAUGCGAUAAGUAGUGUGAAUUGCAGAAUUCAGUGAAUCAUCGAAUCUUUGAACGCACAUUGCGCCCCUUGGUAUUCCAUGGGGCAUGCCUGUUCGAGCGUCAUUUGUACCCUCAAGCUUUGCUUGGUGUUGGGUGUUUGUCUUUUCCACGCGAUCAGACUCGCCUUAAAAUAAUUGGCAGCCAGUGUUUUGGUUUUGAAGCGCAGCACAAGUCGCGAUUCAGCUUAUAUCACUAGUUUCCAUUAAGCAUUUUAUCACUUUUGACCUCGGAUCAGGUAGGGAUACCCGC
rnacentral:rRNA from 2 species